rnacentral:snRNA from 1 species
AUACUUACCUAGCAGGGGAGUACCAUGAUGGUACCUGGUUUUCCCAGGGCGAGGCUUAUCCAUUGCACUCCGGAUGUGCUGACCCUUGUUGUUUCCCCAAAUGUGGGAAAUGUGACUGCAAUUAUAAUUUGUGGUAGUGGGGAACUGCAUUCACGCUCUCCUCU